rnacentral:lncRNA from 1 species
GUCUUCUGUUAGUGUGUUUUCCUGACAGGACUGUUUUGCUGUCGUCUUUGGUUUCUUUUUGUCAAGUGCAUGAUUCAACUGGCUGUUACGCAGGUGGGACGAUUUGGUGCCACCUAGCCCAGAGAGGUUAAGCACAAGAUGCACCUGUGUAAUGAUUAUACUGUUUAAUCAGCUUCUUGAUAUGCCACACCUGUCAGAUGGAUGGAUUAUCUUGGCAUAGGAGAAAUGCUCACUAACAGGGAUGCAACAAAUUUGUGUACAACAUUUGAGAGAAAUUUGUAUGUCCUCAUCAGUCAAACAAUAGCUGGGAAAAAGACAGUCAGGACCACAGAGUCUACUUUCACUGAACCACAGGUGUAUAAAGGUGCUCCUCUCUCUCCAUCUGAGCAGAACCUACGUUAUCUACCUGUGAUUCACUCUACAGCAAACUAUCACCAUGGCGAUGAUGACCAUUCUUCUGCUUCUCAGCGCUGCCUUGGCUUUGGGCAACGCAAAGCCCUUACAGGAGGCCAAUGAUGUGGAUCAACUCCUUGCUUUUGAGGCUAAGGGGGUGGAGGAGCUGCAGGAGUUGCAGGAGGUGCAGGAGGAUGAGCAGGAGGUGCAGGAG